ACCCGUCUAGCUCAGUCGGUAGAGCGCUAGCCUUUUAAGCUAGUGGUCAAGGGUUCGAGCCCCUUGGUGGGUG
rfam:Ichthyophthirius multifiliis unplaced genomic scaffold scaff_1120509251439, whole genome shotgun sequence.